CCUUUAAAUAGACACUUAAGAAAAUCAUGAAGCGGACGAGAGAGACAGAUGGGAAGGCUUCAGAAACAUCUGACAAGGACACAUCUGAAGAGGAUGAGGCUGACGAUGAGGAUGAAAUAGAGGGUGAUGAAGACCCCCUUGAUGAACUGUCUGCAUCAGGCAUCCAACAUAGAAAUUCAUCUUCCAAACCCAAGAUGCCUUGUAAAAAUGCCAUGAGAAGACCUCAAAAGCUGGCGGUUUUACAAGCUGCAACCAGUGAGGGCGACUAGAAUAAAAAAGCCUAUUUUAACACUGAUAUGAAAGACAGCAGACAAAAGAGCACAAGAUCCUCAAGAUCACAUACAAAAAGAAUACCCCAAACUGGAAAAGCUGCUCUCAGAUCCACCAUGAGCGUCAACACAAAUCAGGAGUGGAUGUGUGGCCAGACAUACAAGCCUCGUGGGACCAGGGAGAUUGAUCAUCUUCUGCUGGAUAAAACCCCCACGCCAAAGACUCAGAAUUUUCUGCCUCAUACUUGAACCUAGAAAGAACAUGGCUGUCAAAAAACAAAAGAAACAAAGAAGACAUCCAAAGGUCACCUUGACAACUACUUCAAAAGUUGUUCAUAUCAUCUUGUUUGAA